CAUGUUGGCGUGCCGAGAAGUGUUAAAUCCUUUUUGUAACUUUGACACUGCCGGAAUUAUGAUAAGCUCUAUUUGUUCACAUACAUUAACAAGGAAAAAUAGCAUGCAUUUUUGCAGCAACAAACUUGUAGAGAAAAACUAUGCAACUUCACCAAACCAAAUCAAAGUCAUCCAAAUCCGGAACUUGCAAACCAACCUCACCAAAUUAAAUAAGAAAAAGUCGCGGCUCAUAACCAAUAAGCUUAACAUAAUUAAACUCAAUUAAUUUGAAUAAAUUAAGCAGCUGAUUUCUUUUCAAUGAGCUUCUCUAUCAGAUCAGCUGCUUCUUGGACCGUGCUUAUGUUCUGAGAGCUCUCCUCUUCAACGCUAAUGUCAAACUCUUCCUCCAAAUUCAUCACUAUCUCCACCUGUAUCCAAAUUACUUCUUUGUCAACCUAAUCGAUAGCAAAUAAUCCGAGAUAGUUUUGAAAUGGUAUAAAUAAAGUAUCAAUAUGCUGGCGACAUUCUCGAGACUUGACAUAGUAAUAGCGCUAUUUGAGAACAUUGCUACAUUAAUAUGCACAUAAAACAUGAAUUUGAUAAAUUUGGAUAAGGAAAUUAGACAUACGGUGUCGAGAGAGUCGGCGCCAAGUAAUGCAAACUUGGAGUCAGAGGAAACCUUUGACUCCGGAGGCAAAGCCAAUUGCUUCCUCACAAUCUCCACUACCUUUUGCACCGUCUCCGGUUUGGCCUGUCCAUUUAUGUGGUUUCAAUAUAACUUGUUAAACUCAAAUUUACAAGUCAUCUGCCUUAUAACUGAUUAUAAAUAGAUAGACAAAAGUUGAUGUACAACUAAUAAUAACUAUGAAUCUUUCGAUAGACGCAAUUAAUUUUCGAGUUCGAAAAACUUACAGCGCAACAAAUUUGGAGAUGAGAGAUUCUCAAAGAAGAGAAGCCACUCUUGGCCCAUCCAUUAGAAACCAACUUUAAACUUGAACUUGUUCCUGUUACCUACAUUAUUUUCACCUUCAGCACAUUUUAUUGGUCUAAAAAAUCAUCAAUUGGGCAAAUAUUCAAGAAAUUCAAAAAAUAACGACCCCUUGUGGUUAACCUAUAACUAAGGUAUGUGAACGCCUCUCACAGAUAAGUAGAUAGACUUGUGUGAGAUGCACAUGCAGAGAGUACACCUAUCUUGAAAGGUAGUAACACAAUUGGACGCAAGAUUUUCUCCAAAACAGAUCCCGAAUUUUCAAGAGAUAACCCAAUUGAACAACAAGAGAAAUGUGACUUGAGCACACAAAAUUUGGUAUAGUAGUACUAAAAGACCAAAUGAGACUACAAUUAAUGAAGACUUAAUGGCACGCGUUCAUCGUGGCAUCUUGAGCAGUUCUAACAUAGAAAUGGCAUAGAAUGCUGCAGUGAACGUGUUCUAUGUAGGUCUCUCUCAAAAUUAACUGCAAUAAAAGUGAAUCUAAGCUAAAUGUUAGUACCUGGCAGGUCUUGAUUGGCUGGUUUUGAAAGGUUUGGAACCUGCAGAGAGAAGUUGCUGAAGCAGAAGCCAUUGGAGCUCACAAAAGCGAAGCACGGAAACUUGGUUACUUGAAACAGAGAUAUGGUGAAAGUGUGCUAAACUAUCCUAUUGGAACAGAGCCCUAUCUACUACUUACGUGGCAGAUACUCGGACAUCAUGGUGGGUCCCCAAAAGCCAGGUACAAGUUGCCACAUGGGACAAAUUAACAACUAGGCAUCCAGCAGUGGAUAGCACAAAAUAAUUAAAGUUUAAUUACACUCGAAUUUAACUACUUGAUCUCUAGCAGAAAAAAUAAUUAAAGUUUAAUUAAGCUCCUACUUGAUCUAAACACAACGAAGUAAGCAAAAUUCAGAUCUUAAAACGAUAUCAACGAAAUUAAACAAAAAAUUUAAUUAAAAAACUACAAUUCCACAUGAUUCAAAAAUUCAAAUCACGUAAUUAUCAGCGUAGAUUUUGAAUUACCGCAGGCGAGGGAGAUCUAUUAGGCCGAGUCACCGAAAUCGCCGGAAGAGGCUUUGCGCCGUUAGUAAAACCAUUUCCGGACAAAGAAGACGGUGCAUGAGGCGGCUGAGCGAAUCGGAAACCGAGAUCAUCGUCGUCGUCCUCGUCAUCGCCGAUGGACUGAGAAGCCAUGACUGAGCUAUACGUUGAGCGGCGGCUUUAGCGGCGAAGUUUUGAUUUCGCUUGAUGGUGGAGAUUCCGGUGGCUGACGGAUUGAGCCGGAACUGAGGGUGCGCUGGCGACAUCGCCGGAGAAGAGCCUGUACUGCUCGAGCCUCCGCUCCACUGCUGCGAGUACACCGGACUCGCUUGUCUCCUCCGAUCGAUCUAUAUGUGUGUAUGUGUGUGUAUAAAUAUGUGUGUAUUGCUGUGAAAUGAAAGCUGAUAUUUUCCCCAGAAAAAUUUCUCGGGAAAAUCGGGAGGUGGACUGAGAGAGACUAGAGAAAUAGGGGAAGGUGUCUUUCCUUUGAUAUUGAUUGGUACGCAGACGGGACAGGACAUGAUGGAACAUAGAGGGGUAAAGAUGUCUUCAGAUGGAUACAAGGAGGAAGGAGGAAGGAGGAGAUGGAGAUGUUAUAAUUUUGUGUUUCACGGAUGUAGAAUGAGUCGUUAUUGGGUGAGACGGAAUAAAAAUUCAUCUAAAAUUUGUCCCAUGUAAUAGUUAUUUCCAUCCGUUUUAGGUGCACCAUAUGUGGGAUGGAACGCGACGUCCCACUCCGUUCCGUCCUGUCCCACGUACCAAACGUUACCUUUGAGUUCAGGGGUUAGGGACAAGUUAUGGAGAGAUUUUUCAGUGUGAUCGUUACACGGAAUGGUACAUCAUGUGUCGCUAUAUAAAUGAUGAAAUAUAUAUGUUAAAAAAUUAAUAACUUAAAAAAUAAAAUUUCUCACCACUUACAUGAAAACACAUGAUGUACCACUCGUGUUCCUAUCACAAUUAAAAAUUUCUCCAAGUUGUGUAGGGUUGAAAACUUGCAAUGCGCAUGCUGAGCAAACAAACGGUGGCGUUUUGGCGUUUGAUUGAUGUUGAUGCACGUUUCGCGGGAGAGGAUGUGUGGAAGUGGGCGGUAACGUGUCAAAUAAGAAGGCGUGGGCCCGAUACAUUUGGUGGCCGCCGAUGCCAGAUGUUUCGGGUAUGAAGGCAGAGAAUGUGCCCUUUUGUUUGUGUGGUCACGGUUAAACCACGUCAACAUUUUAUAUUACUAUUUAUUUUUGUCUUAUUAUCUUUAUAAAAAAAAUAUAAAAUGUUAACGUAGUUUAACCGUAACCACACAAAACAGAAUGACACGGGAAGUGGGAGGGUAGAGAAUCUGCCUCCUUCGGGUAUUGAUGCAUUUCGUCGGCGGUUUCGGACACGUAAACUUUUUGCAGUGGGGAACCACUGAAUCUAAAUCCUUUCCAGAUCUUCCUUGUGAGGAUUUUGAGAAUUCGUGAAUAGUAUUCGUUCAUCGUGCAUCGUGCAGUCAGUUUUCAUCAAACACUAUUUUUGUUCAAUUUUAAAUAAUAAAAUUAAAAAUGAUUUAUAAUUGUACGAUGUAAGAUGAAUGUAUACGAUACACGAAUCUCCAGAUUCUCACAAAAAUGAUCAGGAGAGGAUUCUUAUUCGAACAGACUAACGUUGGGACGAGACGAGGUCUAUGAAACGUUGACGUUUUGUAAGGAGAAAGCUUUGGACAAUGAGUUGUUAAGACUAAUUAGUAAAAAAUUAUUCAUCUCUAACUAUUCUUAAUAAUGUCAACUCCCUAAUGUGAUUGUUUGGGUUAAUAUUUGAACAUUGGGUUGCAAAUGUGUAGAAGCCCAGAGAUAUUAAUUAAAGGGAGAUUUGUCCGAGGCCCAAGCAUCAAGCCCAGAGACAAAUUGGCGCCUUCCUAUUAAUGCAUAGGCCAUGUGCCUAUGAUUUAAAUGUCAAGUGUUGGGGACUAACUCACAAUCAGCCAAAAAACACUUUUUAAUGAUAAUACAAGUAGAAAGCUGAUGACUCACUACCCUCAAAGUUCUUUCAGGCAAGAACAAAGUCACUACAAUCGGACUAAUUUGCAUAUAAAAGGAGGAAGAGGCCCCAGAGAUAAGGACACUUAACCAAUCAAACAAACAAACAUACAAACUUUGCUUUCAAGCCAAAUUUGCAUCCAAAAGCUGUAAUCAACCCAGAUCUCAGUCCUUUUCAGGAUAUCUCCCUCACAAAAGCUUUGUCUAGUUUAAAGCUCUACUAUCAUCCCUAGUGACGUAGUAUCGAUUCUCUUAUGUAAACUGGUUUACCAUCCAUCCCUUUUUAACAUAGAAACCUCUGUAAACUCAAAGAGAAGUGAUUGCAAGAAGUUCAACCUUGCCCGACAAGGUGAAAUCUUGCUUAAAGUUCUUUGUGUGUUUUCUAAGAUAAUAGAUCUAUUACUUAAUGUAUUCUUCAGCAUGUAUUCAAUUCAUAUCCAUUUGUUUUCCUACUUUAAGAGUCUCAUUUGCAUCUGAAUCUAGUCAGCUUAAUGGAUAUGCUUUCAUUUAAUACCAAUCAAGAACCAAACAAAUGACUUAAGGGAUCUGGACUCCCCUCAUUCGAAUAUACAAGACUAUGAACUGAAAGUCAUUGGUCACAAGACAAGAAAAAGAACUUAAUGUGGACUUAACUCAUCUACGACAAUCCUUUGAUAGCAAGAAGUCUGAGUAACUUGGGGUGCAAGUAAUUGACUAAACACAAUCUUGUUCUAUAUCUGCUAUACUGAGAUAGCAGUGGCACGCCUAGCACUUGAUUAGUUUUGAUUGCGAGCCACAAGGCCUACACCUAAGGCCCCACAAAGGCACAUUUCAAAACUAACUCUAUCCUCUUUUUGCAGCACAUCAACAAGUAAGAGCCCGACUACACAUCUAAAGUGCCAAUCCUUUGGGAAGUUGUGCUGAGAGUCGAGGAGCCCUCUCCAGAGAAAUCUUCGCCCGAAUAGUGAUCAUAUUUGUUUAAUUAAUAAGCAUGUUUGUUUUCUCAAUGCCAAGUGAUUGAGUAAAAGUUACUUAGAGAUCAAUGGGAGUAAGAUGUCGUGUACAUAAAUAGUAAGAUGUCAAGGCAUUAUAAACAAAUAACAUGUCAUUUGUUUUUUUGAGUAACAGUAUGUUAAUGGUUUGAAAUGUUUAGAUAAUAUACGGGGCGCAUAUAAAUCUCUCUCGUCAAAGUUGCUUUGUUUCACUAUAACAUGAAAAAGUGAGAACCAAUUGAGCUCCACUAGAUGCAUAUCUAGGUGCAUGAAAACAAUUGUGAACAGUUAAUUGAAAAAUAUUACAAUAUUAAUUUUACUUGAAUUGUAUUUAAUACAAUGCAUAGUAUGUUAAACUUGACGAAUUAAGCUCGAUUAGCUACAUAUCUUAGUGUAUAAAAGCAAUCGUGAACUGUUGAUUGUGAUAACUUUGCUUUUAUCAACGAACCACAAAAAUCCAACACAAUGGUUUUGUUUAAGCACAUUAUUGUAGCAUUUCAAACCAAUAACACGAGAAAAUUAAAACACGAGACAUCAUUGUAUUCAUGUAUAAUGUCACGUCGACGUGCCGAGAAGUGUUAAAUCCUUUUUCUAACUUUGACGCUGCCGAAAUUAUGAUAAGCCCUAUUUGUUCACAUACAUUAACAAGGACAAAUAGCAUGCAUUUUUGCAGCAACAAUGUUGUAGAAAAAAACUAGGCAACUUCACCAAACCAAAUCAAAGUCAUUCAAAUCCACAACUUGCAAACCAACCUC
rnacentral:lncRNA from 1 species